UUUUGUCAUGGACGGUUGAAAAUAGAGGGACAGGGUCAACGAAGGAAGAUUACUGGUUAGACAGGAUUUACUGGAAAUUGAAUGACACGAAAGGAAAUAAUGAGCAUACGUUUGUUGAAAUCUGGCACUCAGGCGAACUUCAGGCUAGCCAAAAGUAUUCGGUCAAUACUUCUCUACUUAUACCGGAAUUUACGUUUGGUAGUUUUUGGAUGUUCGUCGAAACUAAUUACGGAAACAGAGUUUUCGAGUAUACAGGAGGCAGCAACAACAUUAAAAUGCUACAGACACCAAUUGAAGUUAAACUAUCACCGACACCCGAUUUAGUGGUUAGUAACAUAUCCGUAUCUAAGCAGUCCUUCACAACAGGAGAGACUAUUCACGUUGAUUGGGCAGUAGCCAAUAGAGGACAUACCACACCACAUUCUCAGAC